rnacentral:rRNA from 1 species
GGGCCCGCACAAGCGGAGGAACAUGUGGUUUAAUUCGAUGAUACGCGAGGAACCUUACCCGGGCUCGAACGACAGGGGAAUAUGGGGGAAACUUCAUAGCCAGCAAUGGUCGCUGUCGAGGUGCUGCAUGGUUGUCGUCAGCUCGUGCCGUGAGGUGUCGGCUUAAGUGCCAUAACGAGCGCAACCCUUACUUUUAGUUGCCAGCGGGUAAUGCCGGGGACUCUAGAGGAACUGCCAGCGUAAGCUGUGAGGAAGGUGGGGAUGACGUCAAAUCAGCACGGCCCUUACGUCCGGGGCGACACACGUGUUACAAUGGUCGGUACAGAGGGCAGCUACCUGGUGACAGGAUGCGAAUCUCUAAAGCCGAUCUCAGUUCGGAUCGAAGUCUGCAACUCGACUUCGUGAAGCUGGAUUCGCUAGUAAUCGCGCAUCAGCCAUGGCGCGGUGAAUACGUUCCCGGGCCUU